GGAAUAUUGGACAAUGGGCGAAAGCCUGAUCCAGCCAUGCCGCGUGUGUGAAGAAGGUCUUCGGAUUGUAAAGCACUUUAAGUUGGGAGGAAGGGCAUUUACCUAAUACGUAAGUGUUUUGACGUUACCGACAGAAUAAGCACCGGCUAACUCUGUGCCAGCAGCCGCGGUAAUACAGAGGGUGCAAGCGUUAAUCGGAAUUACUGGGCGUAAAGCGCGCGUAGGUGGUUUGUUAAGUUGAAUGUGAAAUCCCCGGGCUCAACCUGGGAACUGCAUCCAAAACUGGCAAGCUAGAGUAUGGUAGAGGGUGGUGGAAUUUCCUGUGUAGCGGUGAAAUGCGUAGAUAUAGGAAGGAACACCAGUGGCGAAGGCGACCACCUGGACUGAUACUGACACUGAGGUGCGAAAGCGUGGGGAGCAAACAGGAUUAGAUACCCUAG
rnacentral:rRNA from 1 species